rnacentral:tRNA from 1 species
UAUAGCUCAGUGGUAGAACGCUUGCCUAGCAUGCAUGAGACUCUAGGUUCAAUUCCCUAGUA